GUGCUCACUUCUGUAGUACAUAUACUAAAAAUUGGAACAGUACACAGAUUAGCAUGGUCCCUGCACAAAGAUGAUACGCAAAUUAACGAAGCAUUCCACAUUAAA
ensembl:snRNA U6 U6 spliceosomal RNA